rfam:Candidatus Roizmanbacteria bacterium RIFCSPLOWO2_01_FTLL_42_14 rifcsplowo2_01_scaffold_5134, whole genome shotgun sequence.
GCCCGGGUGGCGAAAUGGUAGACGCGCAACACUUAAAAUGUUGUGACCGUAAGGUCAUGUCGGUUCGAGUCCGACCCUGGGCA